GUUUGCACUUAUCGGGGAAGGGUGAGAACCUUCGAUUAAGGUUCGACUUGAGCGAAAGCGAGAGAACGUUGCCAACGGCAACGGCCCGUAGGGUGAGGAGCGAAGCGACGAAUAACCCUUCCCCCACCACCA
rnacentral:sRNA from 3 species